UUCAUGAGUUGUACAAAAACAGGCAGCAGGAUAGAUUUGCCUAAGGACCUAAGUUUGCCCACACCGUGUUCUAGAGCAGUGCCUCAGGCAGUGUGUAGAAGGGAUUGGAGAUUUAACUUUGAGGCAAGAGGCCCAGCCAAGAACUAUAGGAGGUACCCACGUGUGAUGAGGAUGCUGGAGGGUGGGGGAGUGCUGCAAAGGGAAAAGAUUCAGGAGGUCCGAUAGGACCCUAGGGGUCGGCAGGGAGCUUGCACCCCUCAGAUCACCAAAGGGACCCCUGACCCGCUCACCAGGGGAAGCUGCUUCUCAUGGGUUUGGUGGAUUCUCCACUGAGCAGUGGCCUUGGACAUGACCAUGGACUAAAUCCUGUGGACACCACGACCUCAUACUAUUGCUCCCUAAGAAUUGGGUGAUCUCAUUCCUCCCCCUUCCAGCCCUACCCUCUCCUUCAGCAGGAGAUUCUUUAUGGGGCCAGAGCUUUUCAGAGACCCAAGUUCUUAUCUCUGGAAUUCCCUCUGGCUUGUCUGGCAGGGCUGUCUCCUUUCAGCAGUGGUGCCUGCCUGGUGUGCAGUGGGAGUUUGUAUCCAGGACUGGAGAUGAAAGCGACCCUCCUGAUUGCAGUGUCUGCGUGAAGCAGCUCUGGAUCCUGUCCUGGACAGGCUGAAGAACAGACCGGGGGAGGGGAAGAAGAAUGUCAGUCUUGAAGCUGUCAUGCCUCAGUUCUCACUCAUGUAUCAUGUUCUGUUGUGUGUGACUGUACAGCAAGGUAAGGGUCUGCUCCCCUACUGAUGGACAUUGGGGUCUGUUUCCAGGGCCCCCUGAUCACCCACAUUGUGCCCCUCCUCAGUCAGACCUCUUGGGGUGCCCACUCCACACCUCCACACACUGUUCACUGACACUCCUUUCACUAUUCCAUGGCCCCCAUGAUAUCCACACAGCAACGACUUUCUCCAUCUCUGUCUUCGGCUCUCUUCUGAUCUCCAGACCAUAUUAAAAGGCAUGCCUGUUUAUUGAGCACUUACUCUGUGCCAAACACUAUUCUCAGCAAUGUACAUGUUUUAUUUCAUUGGAUAUAUACAGCAACACAAAUGGUAAGUAAUAUUAGACCCAUUUUACAAAGGAGAAAACAGAAGCCCCGAGAAGUUGAGUAACUUGCUCAAGAUACACAAUUCUUGCCCCCAGGUCUCAUAGGCAACUCAAACUCGACAUGUCCACAAUGUAACUUAUCUUCCUCUCCAAACCAGUCUGUCUCCCAUGCACACUCAUAGGGGGCACAUCUCCAAUGCCCCAGGCCCAAGCCACAAACUGAAGUCAACCCUGACUCCUGCCGCGUCCUUACUCCUUCUCCAGUGCCAGCCCAAGGUCUUGUGGGCUUUACCUCAGUAUUUCCCAAACCCCCUUUGUCCCAUCUGCUGCUCCUCCUGGAUUAUUGCCUCUCACCGCACUCCCUUACAGUCUCCGAUCUCCUGCUUUCCCAGCAGCUUGCUAAACGUCAUCUCAUCAUGUCCCCAUCUCCAGAAGAAAGCCCAGCCUCGUUGCCUACAUCUUCUCCACUACAAAGUUCAGCACCCAACCCCAGAAGGGACAACUCUUGUCCCCCAUUCUGCUCUGCCUCCUCCUCUGGGAAACCAGUCCCCUCUCCGCUGCUUAUCUCCUUCUUCACAAUAAACAUCCUCAUUAGACUGUG